rnacentral:miRNA from 1 species
AAAGAAGAUAUCCAGUUAAAUUUGAGUUUUGGAUAAAUAAUAAUACAUUUUUGUAUAAGUAUACCUCAUGCAAUACUUGGGACAUACAUAUGCCAAAAAAUUGUUUGUUAUCCAUCUGAAAUUUAAAUUUAACUGGAUGGCCUGUAUUUU